AGGUACCGCAAUAUUCUUCGAGUUUAAACAUUACAAACCGAAAAAGGAUAUUGUGAGCACAAGGUGCUUUGCUUUCAUGGAACAGGACGAGUUUAAACCUGGUCCUGCCUGUAUCGAACUCUAUCAGAAACCAACGGAUUUUAAUCGCAAGAGGUUAAAUCUAUAUACACAAAAACCGCUUUAUCUUCACCUAACACUCAAUGUCCUUGAUGACUGAUAUCAGACAAUAGAUAGCAUGCGAGUAAGCCCUUAUUAUUAUCCAA